CGUGCAGUGGGGAAUAUUGCGCUAAUGCGCGAAAGCGUGACGCAGCGACGCCGCGUGGGGGAUGAAGGCCCUCGGGUCGUAAACCCCUUUCGCCAGGGACGAAGGGAAACUGACGGUACCUGGAGAAGAAGUCCCGGCUAACUACGUGCCAGCAGCCGCGGUAACACGUAGGGGACGAGCGUUGUCCGGAAUCAUUGGGCGUAAAGCGCGCGUAGGCGGCCCGGAAAGUCGGUUGUGAAAGCCCGGGGCUCAACCCCGGGACUGCAUCCGAUACUUCCGGGCUGGAGGUAGGUAGGGGAGAUCGGAAUUCCUGGUGUAGCGGUGAAAUGCGCAGAUAUCAGGAGGAACACCGGUGGCGAAGGCGGAUCUCUGGGCCUUACCUGACGCUGAGGCGCGAAAGCUAGGGGAGCGAACAGGAUUAGAUACCCUGGUAGUCCUAGCCGUAAACGUUGGGUGCUAGGUGUGGGUGGACAUCGACCCCAUCCGUGCCGAAGCUAACGCAUUAAGCACCCCGCCUGGGGAGUACGGCCGCAAGGCUA
rnacentral:rRNA from 1 species